rnacentral:lncRNA from 1 species
GCUAGGAUUUUGUCGUAUUGAUUGAAGCACAAAUAAAUAAACUCUAUUGAAAAUACAUGUAUAGUAGUGAAUAUUGUCUGUGGUGUCACACAAUAUUCUUUGUGGGUAUAUUAUUGAUUUUAUUUAAAUUAUGAGACGAUCACAAUUUUUUUAAAAAAAUAAAUAAAUAAAAGGGUUGCAAUUGAGAAAGCAAUAGGCUUCAGUUUGGCCUCCUAAUUUUCUAGCAUUUGGCUGAUGCAUAGGAACAAAUUAACGCAAUUGGCAACCACUUAUUAUUUGGAAAAACAAUAAAAAAAAAAAAUUAAUUAACAAGGCAAUCCCUAAUAGAAUUCCACUGAACUUAGCUGAACCUAUUUGUCUUUUCUGUGCAAUAAACAUGUCAGAGGAGUUGAUGAAAAUGGAGAAUGAGAUAUGAAAUUGUCAGUAAGCAGCAUAAUUUCAGGAAUUUAAAAGCAAAGCAGUACCUGUUCACUGGUUUCAAAGUUUGUUCGCUUUCUCAGGCAUUGGAGCAAUGCAGCUAAAGACUCCCUUCAGCUCAAGGGCAGCUAUUACUUUUAACAUUUCCAUGCUCUUUACACCGACUUGAUGAUUCUGCGAUAUCUGAAGAGGUAAAAGAUUUGCAAAUAGCAGAGGCAACCACAAUGAAAAUAUAAUGCCAUUUGGGAAAAGGAAAGCAAGAACAUAUUAAACAACUGGACCUAUGUUUUCAUGAUUUUAUAUAUUAUUAAUCAGAAAUUUUUCAUACGAGCAUGUGAAGCUCCAAAUAUACGAUAGCAUUGAAGGAAGUACUACUAAAUGUAACACAUUUCAAAUUGCAUAUUUCUUACUCUUUGCAGCCACCGGCAUCUCGAGCAUCAUUGACAUCAUCAUCUUCGUCAUCCUGUAUGCAGCAUAUAGUUGGAACAAAGAAAUGUUAGAAUCUAUAUCCAUACUGUAGAGAAAAAAAAACUUUAGACGAAAAUACACGUGAAAGUAUAAUAAUAAUAAUAACACGAUAAAUUUUAAUGUUCUUUAGGCGAAUCAAUUAGGAUUUGAUUAUUAUGUUUAAAUUUGGCACCACCUAUUUUUUCUCCUCCACCACAAUCCCCAUCUGAAAAAUUCCACCUCUGUUACAUAAUUAACGAGGCAGGCCUUGCUCCAGAGGGCUGCUGCAGAUGUAAAAGAUUUCAAGAUUUCAAUAUGGUACAUGCAUCUCCGAUACAAGGAUUGAGGAAGCAUACUUUGUUAAAAACAUGAAUUAAAAGCAACAUGUCAUGGACAUUAAAAGCAACAAAAACCGAAACGGAUAUACACUCUUAUAGUAUAGUGACCACAACUGAAAAGCCAAGCAACAGUAACUCCAUGCCCAGAUAAAGUUAGCAUAAUGUAAACAUCAAAUUUAUCAGACAACAGGAGCAGAUGUACUCUUUUCCAGAAGCGAAUAGAUAGUUGAAAUCAAAUACAAAAUUAAACGGAGAAAAACGAAACAUACCCAGAGAAUUUGUGCCAUUUGUGUACCCAUAAUUCCAGUUCCUGAAAAACAAAAUGAAGAAGUAUAAAGAUAACUUGAGCUGAAUUGCUGGUUGCCCGAGAGGAGAGAAGGAAAUAGAGGAACAAUGAUUUUGUGGGGGAAAGAAUACGAAA